AUUGAACGCUGGCGGAAUGCUUUACACAUGCAAGUCGAACGGCAGCACGGGGGCAACCCUGGUGGCGAGUGGCGAACGGGUGAGUAAUACAUCGGAACGUGCCCAGUCGUGGGGGAUAACGUAGCGAAAGUUACGCUAAUACCGCAUACGAUCUACGGAUGAAAGCGGGGGCCCGUAAGGCCUCGCGCGAUUGGAGCGGCCGAUGUCAGAUUAGGUAGUUGGGGAGGUAAAGGCUCACCAAGCCGACGAUCUGUAGCUGGUCUGAGAGGACGACCAGCCACACUGGGACUGAGACACGGCCCAGACUCCUACGGGAGGCAGCAGUGGGGAAUUUUGGACAAUGGGCGCAAGCCUGAUCCAGCCAUUCCGCGUGCAGGACGAAGGCCUUCGGGUUGUAAACUGCUUUUGUACGGAACGAAAAGGCUCUGGUUAAUACCUGGGGCUCAUGACGGAACCGUAAGAAUAAGCACCGGCUAACUACGUGCCAGCCGCCGCAGUAA
rnacentral:rRNA from 1 species